AGUUUGAUCCUGGCUCAGGAUGAACGCUAGCGGCAGGCUUAACACAUGCAAGUCGAGGGGUAACAGGAAGGAGCUUGCUUCUUCGCUGACGACCGGCGCACGGGUGCGUAACACGUAUGCAACUUACCUUUAACAGGGGGAUAGCCCAGAGAAAUCUGGAUUAAUACCCCAUAACAUCACGGAUCCGCAUGUUUCUGUGAUUAGAGCUCCGGCGGUUAGAGAUAGGCAUGCGGCCCAUUAGUUUGUUGGUGAGGUAACGGCUCACCAAGACUACGAUGGGUAGGGGUUCUGAGAGGAUGACCCCCCACACUGGUACUGAGACACGGACCAGACUCCUACGGGAGGCAGCAGUGAGGAAUAUUGGACAAUGGGCGAAAGCCUGAUCCAGCCAUGCCGCGUGCAGGAUGACGGCCCUACGGGUUGUAAACUGCUUUUAUAAGGGAAGAAACCCCCGCUCGUGAGCGGGGCUGACGGUACCUUACGAAUAAGCACCGGCUAACUCCGUGCCAGCAGCCGCGGUAAUACGGAGGGUGCAAGCGUUAUCCGGAUUUAUUGGGUUUAAAGGGUCCGUAGGCGGGUCUUUAAGUCAGUGGUGAAAGCCUACAGCUCAACUGUAGAAUUGCCAUUGAUACUGGAGACCUUGAGUACACUUGAAGUAAGCGGAAUGUGUCAUGUAGCGGUGAAAUGCUUAGAUAUGACCCAGAACACCGAUCGCGAAAGCAGCUUACUAAAUUGUUACUGACGCUGAGGGACGAAAGCGUGGGGAGCGAACAGGAUUAGAUACCCUGGUAGUCCACGCCGUAAACGAUGAUCACUCGAUAUUGGCCUCCGGGUCAGUGUCCAAGCGAAAGUAUUAAGUGAUCCACCUGGGGAGUACGAUCGCAAGAUUGAAACUCAAAGGAAUUGACGGGGGCCCGCACAAGCGGUGGAGCAUGUGGUUUAAUUCGAUGAUACGCGAGGAACCUUACCAGGGCUUAAAUGCAGGACGACCGGUCUGGAAACAGACCUUUCUUCGGACGGCUUGCAAGGUGCUGCAUGGUUGUCGUCAGCUCGUGCCGUGAGGUGUCGGGUUAAGUCCCAUAACGAGCGCAACCCCUAUCUUUAGUUGCCAGCGGAUAAUGCCGGGGACUCUAAAGAAACUGCCAGCGUAAGCUGUGAGGAAGGUGGGGAUGACGUCAAAUCAUCACGGCCCUUACGUCCUGGGCUACACACGUGCUACAAUGGCGGAGACAGUGAGAUGCAAACUCGCGAGGGUGAGCAAAUCUAUAAACUCCGUCUCAGUUCGGAUCGAAGUCUGCAACUCGACUUCGUGAAGCUGGAAUCGCUAGUAAUCGCGUAUCAGCAAUGACGCGGUGAAUACGUUCCCGGGCCUUGUACACACCGCCCGUCAAGCCAUGGAAGCUGGGGGUGCCUGAAGUCGGUUACCGUAAGGAGCUGCCUAGGGCAAAACUAGUGACUGGGGCUAAGUCGUAACAAGGUAGCCGUACCGGAAGGUGUGGCUGGAUCACCU
rnacentral:rRNA from 1 species